AAGUUCCAUGAGAUAUUGAAAGUGAGGCGUGUGGAGCCAAACAACCUGAGAGGAAGAGGAAUGAAUGGAGUGGGGUGAGACUCAAGGUGGGCAAAACCACUGGCAGCUAUGGCAAUGACCCAAGACUGUGGUGGAUACAAUGUCAGAGGAGAGGUGGCUGGAUGAGACACAUAUGAGCUGUGUUUCGAAAGGGAGUUUCAUAAGAAGGAAGAGAGCACAGCACAUCGCCUUGGCAACAGAGGUCAAAAGAACUAACAAAUGGUAAACAUCAGAAAAGGAGAGUGCGCAGGCUACAAAACAACUGGUGCCAGAAAUUCUCAAAGGUUAUACGUAUGGUGAAGUUUCAAGCCACCCCCAAAGCCUGGACACCCUUUCUACUUACUGUGAAGAGACAAAGAAAAAAAAAUACACCCAGAGCACAGA